GAGCUCUGCUGGGCCUUGCAAAAUCGGGCGAAGGUCUCCGAGGGUCGGGCCCCGGGCAGCGGGGUGAACCCUGCCGUCCGGGCCAGCUCCCCGACCCGGCUGGAGAAGUCCCGCAGUUGCUCCUGCCGCAGAUCCACCAGGGUCAUCUCCGGGGCUUGGUGCCUGUACAGUGAACUCACUGCUCCUGUGGGGCAUGUUGGACCCACUAAGUAGCUCACUUGGAUAAGGCGCUGCUUUGCCGUGCUGUUCGAGCCCAGCCCCCACUGCACUGAAGAAGCUGUGAUCUCUCUGCUUCUUUAUGUAAAAAAAAAAAUGAAUAUAUUUAAAAUUACUAUUGAAAUUAUAAAAAUAGGA